UACGGAGGGUGCAAGCGUUACUCGGAAUUACUGGGCGUAAAGCGUGCGUAGGUGGUUCGUUAAGUCUGAUGUGAAAGCCCUGGGCUCAACCUGGGAAUGGCAUUGGAUACUGGCGACCUAGAGUGCGGUAGAGGGGUGUGGAAUUCCCGGUGUAGCAGUGAAAUGCGUAGAUAUCGGGAGGAACAUCUGUGGCGAAGGCGACACCCUGGACCAGCACUGACACUGAGGCACGAAAGCGUGGGGGGCAAACAGG
rnacentral:rRNA from 1 species